rnacentral:rRNA from 1 species
GACAGAGGGGGCAAGCGUUGCUCGGAAUUACUGGGCGUAAAGGGCGCGUAGGCGGGAUGGCAAGUCGGUCGUGAAAUCCCUCGGCUCAACCGAGGAACGUCGAUCGAUACUGCUGUUCUUGAGGAUUGCAGAGGAGACUGGAAUUCCCGGUGUAGCGGUGAAAUGUGUAGAGAUCGGGAAGAACACCCGGUGGCGAAGGCGGUGUGCUGGGUUGCAACUGACGCCGAGGAUAGCGAAAGUGGUGGGUAGCAAACGGG